CAUCAGGAUAGUCAUCAUCUUCAGUUUUCUGUGCUGUUGUCUUCGUACGGGUUACAAAUGGCUCUGGGGGUUUGUGAUACACAGAGGACAAUGUAGCAAUGUUGGCAAGAAGCCCAUCAAGAACAGAUGGNNNNNNNUUGGUUUGAAUCAUCACUAAUCACAGGUUUCUCAGCCAGCACAACAUCCUUUGCAGCCUCAGGAUCAGUAGAUAACAGUCGCCAAUAUAUAUAUGCAUGAUCUCAUAAAUC
rnacentral:misc_RNA from 1 species